AGCUCCUAGAAAUAGCUUAGGACUCUCAGGGACUCCUUGAUUCUAUCAAGGAUAAUGAAGAGAUUAUCUUGGGAAAAAAAAAAAAAAAAACAGGAAAGAGCUCUCAGACAGCAGGGGGACUUAAUGUGAGCCACAGGCCUGAAAGAACCAAGCCCCUGAAAUGUCAACUCUCUGUGGACUUACAAAGGAAAAUAGCAAGAAAACUCUGCCUGGUUUGUUGAUAAAGGAUUGCGUUCAGUGAGAUCCGUCUGCCUCAGCCCCGCCUCACACCUUGGCUUCAGGGCCGAGAACUGAAGCUAAUUCCUGUGCCAGAGAACAUUAUGUGCUUGCAUAGCAGCAAGGGGAACGUUUUCUAAAUAAUUAAUCGGGAGCUCGGGAUCUUCCUGGAUUCUGCCUGUUCCUGGAAUCCACCCUGAAGGAGGUUUUGUGUAGCCAUCUGUAAUUGCCACCGGAGACUGGAGCUGUAUCUCUGCCCCUUGUGUUGUUGAUUUUACUUUAUUCUUCUCUACAUUAAAAAAAAAAUUACAGACACGA
rnacentral:lncRNA from 1 species